rnacentral:ncRNA from 5 species
UCAGUCUUUUUCUCUCUCC